CAAUUCCAGGUAACUUGGAUUUAAAAAGAAGCUCUCCAGGAUAUUCUGAUACUCGGUCAGCUUUGUGUACAAUGACUAUGAGAAUAUAAAGAUAUGUACUGUAAGCCAGAAUUCCUCCUCUCUAAUUAAAGAUAAUUACCUGAAUGACAUAGUAAUCAGAAACCCUUACAAACCAAACCAAACCAUAGAACAAAAUAAAACAAAAAAAUGGAAACUUCCACCACCUAAAAAUCAGUUUUCUUCAGCAAACACUUCCGGUCCUGGUUCGUUGCAGUUUUGAGAGUAGGUAUCUUGGCAUCUGACCUACCAGAAUGAAGAUCUCAGAUUCCAAGCCAACUUUUGCAUCAAGAAUCCUGACUGAUGGAGUCAAUCAAACAGUCAAUAUUUAACAAGUGCCUUCUACGGAAGUGGAUGAUGUUUGCUGAAGCUACAUGGUGACUUUUGGAAUGGCCUGCUAGAUUUAGAAAGAGUGAUGGAGAGAAUGCCAUUGAUGUGUGAACAGUUACUUCUGUUAAAGUAAAGAAGCCCAGGUGAUGAUGUUCAUUGUUUGUUCCUUCAAAAAAUCACCUAAUGAAUAUGUCAAGGAAUGGCAGUAAUCUUUACAUUAGCUCCUUACUUUACACUAAUCCUAUGGAAGGAAGGACCCUGUAAGCUUUUUGGCCCAGCUUCUGAACCAGGAGAGUGUUAGCUUCGAUCCCUCUUCACCAUGGUUGUUCUCAAAAUUCCCCCACGCAGACAGCUACAUCUGGAUCGACCUACACCUCUACUUACAUAUGCCUCGAAUGCAAAUAGUAUAUAGCAGUUGAUGAUUUCUUUAGAUAACAUCUAAAGAAGGACCAUGUGAGAAUGACCAAAUGAAGCCAUCAUAUGCAUAUUACAGACCACCAUUGUAGCUAGAUAUCUCAACACCAAGACCCCCUGCUUCCAAGGAAUGACACCUUGGCCCUUGUCUUUGUUCUAACUGAUUCCUGGAUGCCUGAGAGGACACAUACACCAAACCACAAUCCUUAAUAAAAACCACCAAACUCCAAGCAAAGACCAGACUCCCUCCUUUCCUAAGUCUCCAAGACACUCCAUGUGUAUCUGCUCUGAAUCUUCAGUAAACUCUGCUCUCACUUCCUGCUGGCUCAUGUUUGAUUUCCAUCCUGUGCAAAGCCAAAGACCCUCUUGGCUGGUUCUGCAGGACCUUUUCUGGAUCCUUGGACUCCACCUGCCAGCAUCAAAUGGAUAGUGUGAUAUGUUUACAAUAUGGAAUAUUAUUCAGUCAUAAAAGGAAGUGAAGUACUGAUCCAUGCUACUACACUGAACCUUGAAAAUAUCAUGCUAAGUGAAAGAAGCCAGAUACAAAAGGGUACCUAUCAUAGGACUCUAUUUAUAUGAAAUGUCCAGAAUAGGAAAAUCCAGAUACAGAAACUAAAUUAGUGGUAACUCCUAUAAGGGCUUGUGGGUUGGGGUAUGAGGAGUUACUGCUAAUGGAUAUGGGGUUUAUAAUGGGUAUGGGACUAGAUAGUGUUGAUACUUGCAUACAAGUAUUCAUGUGGACAGAGUGAUAGGAAUGCACUCAACAGUCCAGCUGUGUCGUGGCUGGCUGUUAUCUCUGCUUCCUUGUGUGGUUCUUGAUUAGAUCUGUUGUCUCAUUAUGUUUCAAUGCUCCUUUAACAAAAGCCCAUCCUCUGUUCACACAAGAAGUUUGUGUUUUCUUUCUUGAUUUCUUCUGAGCUUUCUUUUUGACAAUUGUUGAACAUUUAGUCAACUCUUUGAGAAACACUUGUUUCAGGGUCGAAGGUGCCUGGGUGUCAGAGGUUAUUUCUAUGUGCUUUUAAACUUGAUGUAAGAGAAAAUUGGCUGCACACCUUUUUGUGGCAUGAUUUUGGCAGUUUUUUUUUUUGUUUCCUUUUCUCCUAGAUUAUCUAUUAGAAAAAAAUCAAAUGGUCAUUCUUGCUCUGGCAGCUAUAACUAAUUUUUUCCCAGACAGAAUUAUAUUGGCUGUUAUUGGUUACACUUAAAAAAACUUCCAAAGAUAGAGUGAUCCUCUAAAAGAAUAUUUUUAUUUAAAAAUAUAACACAUCAAAGUGAAGCAGUUACAGUUUAAACAAAUAAGACAUAAAACCUUUUCUUUGAAUUCAGAGGGAGGGCAAUUUGCUUUAGUUCACAGUCACUCCGGAUGCCAAGAAUAAGAACUGUUCCCAUUUUUUCCCUCUGUGAGCAUCAGUUAUUAAGAUGAGAAAUUUUAGUUAUAAGUGAAGUUUUAGAGUUUUAAUUUUAUUCAGUAACUAAAGCUUUUUCAGUACAAUACCUUUUCUUCAUUUUGUUCUGCAUCUUGAGGAAGACCUGAAUUCAGUGAUGUUCUUACCUUUACUGAGUGUUAUAGACUGAAUGUCUGUGUCCUUCCCAAAUUCAUAUGCUGAAAUCCUGACUUCCAAUGUGGUAGCAUUAU